ACGUGAUCUGAGUUCAGACCGGAGUAAUCCAGGUCGGUUUCUAUCUAUAAUAAAGCUUUUUCUAGUACGAAAGGACCGAAAAAGCAUGGCCAAUGACUAAUUAAGCCAUCAAAUUAAAUUUUGAACUCAACUUAAUUAUUAAUUAACUAACAUACAACUUAAGACACAAAGUA
rnacentral:rRNA from 1 species